rfam:Cricetulus griseus cell line CHO-K1, whole genome shotgun sequence.
GGGGAUGUAGCUCAAUAGUAGAGCACUUGCCUACCAUGUAAAAGGCCCUGGGUUUAAUUCUCAAGCACUCCA